AUGAUGAGCAGUAGAGGAACACUCGGUGUGAGAUGUUUUUCCCUAAGCAAGGGAGAGAGGAGAGAGCCUCAGGAAAGGAAUCAAGCCUGGCUAACUCUUAAUGAAGGAGGCCACAUAGUGAAGAUCUGAGAACAGAUGGGGCUGUUCUCCUGCAGGACACAGAAGCCAGACCUACCUGCCCAGCUGUGAGCCUGUAACCCCAUGCAUAUCCCAGGUCUCUGGAGAGUGCCCCCUGGAUUCACUCUCACUCCUCACUUGUCUGGAUCCACUUGGAAUUCUCCUCCCAGCACUGUCCUCAGGUCCUGGUGCUAGGGAGACAGGCCAGCAGGUGAGUGUGAAUCCUGGGACCUGAAGAGGAGACAGAGGCAAUGAAGGAGGAGGAUCCUCCCAGCCUUCAUCUGAUUCUUCCUUAAAGUAGCUUAAAUUCAACACACUCCAAACUGUACUAUUUUUUUUCAAUGCAUGG
rnacentral:lncRNA from 1 species